GUCUAUGGCCAUGCCACCAUAAAUAAGCCCAAUCCCAUCUGAUCUCAGAAGCUAAGUAGAGUUGGCCCUGGUAGUACUUGAAUGGGAGACCACCUAGGAAGACAAGGUGCUGUAGGCA
rnacentral:rRNA from 1 species